rnacentral:lncRNA from 1 species
AGCCUUUAACAUGUACCAUGAUACUAGAGCACUAUCAACAGAACAGUGCACAUGUUGAAGCUUGCACCAUUGAAGGCACCGGUCAAUCGACACGGUAUUCGUAAGUCUUCCCAUUGGUCCAAAUUGAUACUCCAAGUACUAAAGUGAUAUGCGAUCAUCCAUUAGUGGGAGUAUCGAUCAUAAGGACACAUGAUAGACAAGAACUAAAUGAAGGAUUUUGGACAAUGAAAGAGAUCACACUCCCGUCCUUAGCAGGCACAAAUGCAUGCAUGAUGCGACUCUAUAAAUGGCAACAUACAUGGCUGGAAACUGAACCAAAACUUCGUUGAACUAGUUAGAUCAUCACAUUUCCUUUUCAUAUAAAUUGGCAUUUGGCAAUAGCAUUACCUCGAUUUUGACCUCUCCAUAUGUCAUUAUGUGAACCUCAAUCGCUAGAUUUUAUGCCUUUGAAUUAGAGAUUAUUAGAUAUUUAUGUGAGAAGGAUGUGGGAGAAGAAAAAGAAACCAAUCGCUAGAAGAUGUUGGUUGUACAUAUAUCUGGAAGUUAGCUAGUAGGCUUGGGAGGCAAUGGGAAACUAAGUCGAGCAAAGUGUAACAAAGCAGCUGCUCUGGACAGUCAAAGAUGUAGUGUCAUAGGACCUUGAACAUGUGAGCAGUAUGUAGGUUAAACUUUUUACAUGAACCUUGAGAAGGUUCAAGUGGGAUUUUUCUUGCGGCGUUCUAUGGAGCAUGUAUGAAUAUACAGUUCUCUGCACUGGCUCUUCGUGGUGCUUUAUUUUCAGUCAUUGAGUGUGGAAGUUUUGAUAUGAACUAGAUGUUACCUUGCACGUCGCUGCAAGAACUCUUAAUCCUAUGUGCAUGAGAACACGGAAGUUGAAUAAAUUUGUUCGCCUGGUAGGUCUCUUAUAGUAUACAAACUGGAAUGUAGAUAGUACUUGGAGUAUAGUUGUAAAGAUAGCAAAGAGUAUCGAUUGUUUUUACUAAACACAAUAAUAUGACAUAAAUGACCUCAUAGGAACAAAUAAGUCUAAUGUAUAUAAGCAAAGUAAGAACAUGGAUUUGGAAUGGAGGCGACAUGAAAGGUUGUGUACACAUUGCCCUUUUGAGAUACUUCUUGUGUAUAAUGUGAGACUCUUGUAAUCAAUCUUCUACAUGACAGUACAUAAGUUCCUACAAAUUAUAGCCAAGUAGUUAUAUGAGCAAGUGUUAAAAUAGGUGUUACAUUAAAUAGUGUUUCUCAUAACCGUAAUAUGAGAUAACAAUUCACAAAAAAAUUGGAAACCAUGCUCGCACAUCAUUGACGGUAGCAGGGCCUCAUAUUUGUUAAUCAAACAACAUCUACGAUAGCUUACAACUGAACAUUAGCUCCUACUUCCGCUUUAUGUGAAAAUGGUAUGUUCCAACUUCUAAGGCGCAGCUAAUGCAAAUAGUAGUGGCCGAUACUUGAUAGGAAGGGAUGAUAGCAUCUUCAGGCUUCGUCUUGCUAGUGGCAAUAUGGAGUAUGUCUCUACAAUAAUAUUAAAAUGAGCUAAUGAAGGUGGGCAUUGUGCAACCUAUACAAAAUUCAAAUUGAGAGCCCAUUG